GCUAACCUUUCGGUUGUGGUGUACCGAAAGGUUCAAACUAUGAGCGCUGGGGACCGUCCUGAAUGAAAAACACUGCGGUGUCCAAGGACGCUAGUUUGGUUGUCGCGUUCACUCUGAGCUUUCUCUGAACUUCAGGUCAAUCAAAGAUAACGCGUUGAGAAGGAGCGGGGUACCUUCCCUGGACCCAGAAAGAAAUACCAUUUCUCCACCCCCAAUCUCACACACACCCCUUAGUCGCUCCCUCCAAAUGGUUAUCACAACUGUGUACAAACUGAUACGGUUCCUAGCGGGCCAAGGACUGGAAACGAACACUGGCGGGGUUAUCAGUGCCGAUCUGUCAGCAACGAGUCGCGCACUGCUUGUCCCGGGCAGCAGCAGUGAUAUUCGUCUUAUUCCUUCGGGCUCACAAACGGGUUUCUUCCGACAAGCUGGACACUGGAAGAGGGCUGCGGGAAGGGAAUUGAACAGGCGAAACACUCUUGUGGGAGUGGAUUUUUACACGCACACCCCAGUCACUGUAGCUUCAGCGCGGCUGCCUUUCUUCUGAAAGGCUGAAAGCAGAAAACUCUGGAAUGGAGAGGCUAGCUGCUGGAGCAGGAUUCGAAGGCUUUACAUUUUAACCGGAGUUCGAUCGAAAGUUACUACCACAAGAGACAAGACUGGCACAGGCCGGCCCGAUUCCCACUGCGGCUUCCAGUGGCUUACUUUGGGUUGUCCGAGCUAAUGCACCCGGUCCUGGGCAAUGGGAAUCAAGCGACACGCGGGACCCGAUCCUGCCCCCGCAGUCUCGCACGUUUGCUGCCCCUGGUGAUCCCAGCCGGCAGCCGCCAGCUCAGCGCAGAGGUGGGCUCACGGUUACCCGAAAGGUCACUGAGGUGGCAUCCCUGUCCGUGCGCUGUUUACGCGACUUAAUGUACUUCUUACGCGGCGCUUGUUAUCUGGGCCACCCAAUGACCGACAAAAGAUCUUCCCUCCCCACGUCUCCCAUCGCCACUUUAAACCAAAUAAAUUUAGCUAUUAAGGGCCAAGAUGUCUGACAAAAGAUCGAAAGGUGUCUUUCUGGGAUCCCUUGAAGAAGCAGAGAAGCUAGCCGCUCUCGAAUCCCGAUAAAGAAAUUCCACGCCGGCGCCGGCCUCCCUCCUCAGCCUGCUUGUGUCCGACACCCUGAGAUGGCCAACCUCAAAGGUCCCUUGCAACCUGUGACUGCAAUUGAGGCAUUAUCUCCGGGUCUCCUGGCCUGAAGAUGCUCCGGCAUUGGAACUAACCCUAACCCUAACCCUAACCCAGCUGUAGGACCUAAAGCAUUCCUGCUAGGCUUGCAGAAGAACAGAAGUCAAUGAAACAAACCUAAAUUUAAAUUUAAAUUUGCCCCACCUCUCUUUCCUUUGAGACAAAGCCUUCUAUUAUGUAUGACUAGCUCUUGAUCCUUAAGCCUCAGGCCUUUAUUACAUUGGAAUUACAAAUGUUUGUUAGCUUUGUCCUACCUUGUUCCCCCUAAUACUAAUAAAGACAAAACCAAAUUCUACCUG